rnacentral:rRNA from 1 species
GGACUACUGGGGUUUCUAAUCCUUUUUGCUCCCCACGCUUUCGUGCCUCAAUGUCAGGAACAGAAUAGUUAACUGCCUUCGCCGUUAUUGGUGUUCAUCUUCAUAUCGUUGGAUUUUACCCCUACACAAAGAGUUCCGUUAACCUCUCCUGCCCUCCAGUCGGACAGUAUUACCAGUUUCCACGAGGUUAGGCCUCGAUUUCCCACUGCUAACUUAUUCGACCAUCUACGCACCCUUUACGCCCAAUAAUUCCGGAUAACGUUCGCCACCUACGUCUUACCGCGGCUGCUGGCAC